rnacentral:rRNA from 1 species
UACGAAGGGGGCUAGCGUUACUCGGAUUGACUGGGCGUAAAGGGCGCGUAGGCGGAUGGUACAGUCAGACGUGAAAUUCCUGGGCUCAACCUGGGGGCUGCGUUUGAUACGUGCUGACUGGAGUUCGGAAGAGGGUCGUGGAAUCCCCAGUGUAGAGGUGAAAUUCGUAGAUAUUGGGAAGAACACCGGUGGCGAAGGCGGCGACCUGGUCCGGUACUGACGCUGAGGUGCGAAAGCGUGGGGAGCAAACAGG